rnacentral:lncRNA from 1 species
AAAUACUUUAGGAUUACGUCACCAUUUAUAUAACAUCUGGCAGUGACUUCUCUGAAAAAGCAAGGUGCUUUUUUUCUUUUUUUUUUUUAAUUCUUCCCAAAGACAGUUUCUUUCUGCAGGAAGAAAGGAGGAACUGUUACAUUUUGCAUGCAAGAAAAGCUACUUCCUUAAGGAAUCAAGGAGGAGCUCUAACAUAUCUGAGAUGACUUCAUGUCUAUCUGAAAGGUCAUCUGGCUCUCCAGACUAUAGGUACCUGAAAAUGUCAACUGAAUACGAGGCUGCUGAAGACUCAAAUCCUCAAUGUGACCAAAGAGGAAGGGGAUGGGGGGAAAGUAAAAAGCAUUUAUUAAGCACCACAGGUAUUACCACAGCCACCCUAAUUUUCAGCAACUGCUAUCCUGAUUAUCAACAGCCAUCAACAUUGAGACAAGACCCUUGACUGGUAAAAAGAUCCCAACUCAGUGAAGACUCAGAUGAUGGUUAUCAUUUUGGGGCAAUAAAGUAUUUUCAAAUUAAGGUAUGUAUAUUUCU